rnacentral:rRNA from 1 species
AUACGUAGGGUGCAAGCGUUAAUCGGAAUUACUGGGCGUAAAGCGUGCGCAGGCGGUUUUGUAAGACAGAGGUGAAAUCCCCGGGCUCAACCUGGGAACUGCCUUUGUGACUGCAAGGCUAGAGUACGGCAGAGGGGGGUGGAAUUCCGCGUGUAGCAGUGAAAUGCGUAGAUAUGCGGAGGAACACCGAUGGCGAAGGCAAUCCCCUUGGCCUGUACUGACGCUCAGGCACGAAAGCGUGGGGAGCAAACAGGAUUAGAAACCCUGGUAGUCCACGCCCUAAACGAUGUCAACUGGUUGUUGGGUCUUCAUUGACUCAGUAACGAAGCUAACGCGUGAAGUUGACCGCCUGGGGAGUACGGCCGCAAGGUUGAAACUCAAAUGAAUUGACGGGG